rnacentral:lncRNA from 1 species
AAGAAGAAGAAGACACUCCUUUUUAUAGUCACACACCUCAAUAACACUAUUACAACCAGCAGUUUAGCUUUCAAAAUCUGAUACUUUUCGCCGGAGCCCUUCUGAAUAUCCGUUUGCGCUCAAAUUUGACAGUUAGGCUCGGUUUUCCUUACUAAGAAAGAAUAUAUCUUAAAUUUUCAGUUUCGAUCACUUUUGGUGACCGAAAGCUCUACUGAACUAAAAUCUCUAGCAGAUAGCAGUCGUAUUUUAUUUUCCACUUCCGGGUGUCAGAAUAAUAUGAAGCUUUAAAUCUAGCCUCAUAAAAAUAAUCCUGACAUAUUUCUAGAUUUUCAUAAUUUUCUGACACUGUGCAUUUUCUGCUAAACUAUCAGUCCCGUUCCUUACAGAAAAUUUUAAAUCUUCUGUUUUCAUUCUGAUUUCAGCACGAGUCACUUCCGACUCAUAUCUUACUUCUUUAAAUCCAAUAAAAAUAGUAUCUCACACUAUUUUUAUUUACACUUAAUUUUAUAUUAAAAUCUGGUACAGUACACCGAAACAUGCUGAAACAUUCCAGAUCUAACAUAGCUUAUUUUUU